rnacentral:piRNA from 1 species
UGCUACGGUUUGCUUCGCUCUCAACAG